GCGCGAAACCUGCACAAUGUGGGAAACCACGAUGCGGGGACGCCAAGUGCCUACGCUAUGCGUAGGCUGUUCUCUUGUCCAAAAAACAAGGGGAGUAAGGGCUGGGUAAGACGGGUGCCAGCCGCCGCGGUAAUACCUGCAGCCCAAGUGGUGCUCGUUAUUAUUGGGCCUAAAACGUCCGUAGUCGGCCCGGUAGAUGCCCCGGGAAAUCGCAGCGCUUAACGUUGCGAAGUCGGGGUAGACCGCCGGGCUCGGGAUCGGGCGAGGCAACAAGUACUCCUGGGGUAGGGGUAAAAUCCUGUAAUCCUAGGGGGACUACCAGUGGCGAAGGCGUGUUGCCAGAACGAGUCCGACGAUCAGGGACGAAGCCCAGGGGCGCAAACGGG
rnacentral:rRNA from 1 species